rnacentral:rRNA from 1 species
UGGGGAAUAUUGCACAAUGGGCGAAAGCCUGAUGCAGCGACGCCGCGUGAGGGAUGACGGCCUUCGGGUUGUAAACCUCUUUCAGCAGGGAAGAAGCGAAAGUGACGGUACCUGCAGAAGAAGCGCCGGCUAACUACGUGCCAGCAGCCGCGGUAAUACGUAGGGCGCAAGCGUUGUCCGGAAUUAUUGGGCGUAAAGAGCUCGUAGGCGGUUAGUCGCGUCUGCUGUGAAAACUCGAGGCUCAACCUCGGGCUUGCAGUGGGUACGGGCUGACUAGAGUGCGGUAGGGGGUGACUGGAAUUCCUGGUGUAGCGGUGGAAUGCGCAGAUAUCAGGAGGAACACCGAUGGCGAAGGCAGGUCACUGGGCCGCAACUGACGCUGAGGAGCGAAAGCAUGGGGAGCGAACAGGAUUAGAUAGCCCUGGUAGUCCAUGCCGUAAACGUUGGGCACUAGGUGUGGGGU